GACGAACGCUGGCGGCGUGCUUAACACAUGCAAGUCGAACGGUAAGGCCCUUCGGGGUACACGAGUGGCGAACGGGUGAGUAACACGUGGGUGAUCUGCCCUGCACUUCGGGAUAAGCCUGGGAAACUGGGUCUAAUACCGGAUAGGACUCCUGGCUUCAUGGUUGGGGGUGGAAAGCUUUUGCGGUGUGGGGUGGGCCCGCGGCCUAUCAGCUUGUUGGUGGGGUAAUGGCCUACCAAGGCGACGACGGGUAGCCGGCCUGAGAGGGUGACCGGUCACACUGGGACUGAGAUACGGCCCAGACUCCUACGGGAGGCAGCAGUGGGGAAUAUUGCACAAUGGCGCAAGCCUGAUGCAGCGACGCCGCGUGAGGGAUGACGGACUUCGGGUUGUAAACCUCUUUCAGCUAUGACGAAGCGCAAGUGACGGUAGUGGCAGAAGAAGGACCGGCCAACUACGUGCCAGCCGCCGCGGUAA
rnacentral:rRNA from 1 species